rnacentral:rRNA from 1 species
GGUUAAGCGACUAAGCGUACACGGUGGAUGCCCGGCAGUCAGAGGCGAUGAAGGACGUGCUAAUCUGCGAAAAGCGUCGGUAAGGUGAUAUGAACCGUUACAGCCGGCGAUGUCCGAAUGGGGAAACCCAGUGCAAUUCGUUGCACUAUCGUUAACUGAAUACAUAGGUUAACGAGGCGAACCGGGGAACUGAAACAUCUAAGUACCCCGAGGAAAAGAAAUCAACCGAGAUUCCCCAGUAGCGGCGAGCGAACGGGGAGCAGCCCAGAGUCUGAAUCAGCUUGUGUGUUAGUGGAACGGUCUGGAAAGUCCGACGGUACAGGGUGAUAGUCCCGUACACCAAAAUGCACAGGUUGUGAACUCGAAGAGUAGGGCGGGACACGUGGUAUCCUGUCUGAAUAUGGGGGACCAUCCUCCAAGGCUAAAUACUCCUGACUGACCGAUAGUGAACCAGUACCGUGAGGGAAAGGCGAAAAGAACCCCGGCGAGGGGAGUGAAAAAGAACCUGAAACCGUGUACGUACAAGCAGUGGGAGCACCUUCGGGUGUGACUGCGUACCUUUGUAUAAUGGGUCAGCGACUUAUAUUCUGUAGCAAGGUUAACCGUAUAGGGGAGCCGCAGGGAAACCGAGUCUUAACUGGGCGUUAAGUUGCAGGGUAUAGACCCGAAACCCGGUGAUCUAGCCAUGGGCAGGUUGAAGGUUGGGUAACACUAACUGGAGGACCGAACCGACUAAUGUUGAAAAAUUAGCGGAUGACUUGUGGCUGGGGGUGAAAGGCCAAUCAAACCGGGAGAUAGCUGGUUCUCCCCGAAAGCUAUUUAGGUAGCGCCUCGUGAACUCAUCUUCGGGGUAGAGCACUGUUUCGGCUAGGGGUCAUCCCGACUUACCAACCCGAUGCAAACUACGAAUACCGAAGAAUGUUAUCACGGGAGACACACGGCGGGUGCUAACGUCCGUCGUGAAGAGGGAAACAACCCAGACCGCCAGCUAAGGUCCCAAAGUCAUGGUUAAGUGGGAAACGAUGUGGGAAGGCACAGACAGCCGGGAUGUUGGCUUAGAAGCAGCCAUCAUUUAAAGAAAGCGUAAUAGCUCACUGGUCGAGUCGGCCUGCGCGGAAGAUGUAACGGGGCUAAACCAUGCACCGAAGCUGCGGCAGCGACACUAUGUGUUGUUGGGUAGGGGGAGCGUUCUGUAAGCCUGCGAAGGUGUGCUGUGAGGCAUGCUGGAGGUAUCAGAAGUGCGAAUGCUGACAUAAGUAACGAUAAAGCGGGUGAAAAGCCCGCUCGCCGGAAGACCAAGGGUUCCUGUCCAACGUUAAUCGGGGCAGGGUGAGUCGACCCCUAAGGCGAGGCCGAAAGGCGUAGUCGAUGGGAAACAGGUUAAUAUUCCUGUACUUGGUGUUACUGCGAAGGGGGACGGAGAAGGCUAUGUUAGCCGGGCGACGGUUGUCCCGGUUUAAGCAUGUAGGCUGAUUGUCCGAGGCAAAUCCGGAUAAUCAAGGCUGAGGUGUGAUGACGAGGCACUACGGUGCUGAAGUAACAAAUGCCCUGCUUCCAGGAAAAGCCUCUAAGCAUCAGGUAACAUUAAAUCGUACCCCAAACCGACACAGGUGGUCAGGUAGAGAAUACCAAGGCGCUUGAGAGAACUCGGGUGAAGGAACUAGGCAAAAUGGUGCCGUAACUUCGGGAGAAGGCACGCUGGUGUGUAGGUGAAGUCCCUGCGGAUGGAGCUGAGACCAGUCGAAGAUACCAGCUGGCUGCAACUGUUUAUUAAAAACACAGCACUGUGCAAACACGAAAGUGGACGUAUACGGUGUGACGCCUGCCCGGUGCCGGAAGGUUAAUUGAUGGGGUUAUCCGUAAGGAGAAGCUCUUGAUCGAAGCCCCGGUAAACGGCGGCCGUAACUAUAACGGUCCUAAGGUAGCGAAAUUCCUUGUCGGGUAAGUUCCGACCUGCACGAAUGGCGUAAUGAUGGCCGGGCUGUCUCCACCCGAGACUCAGUGAAAUUGAACUCGCUGUGAAGAUGCAGUGUACCCGCGGCAAGACGGAAAGACCCCGUGAACCUUUACUAUAGCUUGACACUGAACAUUGAGCCUUGAUGUGUAGGAUAGGUGGGAGGCUUUGAAGCGUGGACGCCAGUCUGCGUGGAGCCAACCUUGAAAUACCACCCUUUAAUGUUUGAUGUUCUAACGUUGGCCCCUGACCGGGGUUGCGGACAGUGUCUGGUGGGUAGUUUGACUGGGGCGGUCUCCUCCCAAAGCGUAACGGAGGAGCACGAAGGUUAGCUAAUCCUCGGUCGGACAUCAGGAGGUUAGUGCAAUGGCAUAAGCUAGCUUGACUGCGAGCGUGACGGCGCGAGCAGGUGCGAAAGCAGGUCAUAGUGAUCCGGUGGUUCUGAAUGGAAGGGCCAUCGCUCAACGGAUAAAAGGUACUCCGGGGAUAACAGGCUGAUACCGCCCAAGAGUUCAUAUCGACGGCGGUGUUUGGCACCUCGAUGUCGGCUCAUCACAUCCUGGGGCUGAAGUAGGUCCCAAGGGUAUGGCUGUUCGCCAUUUAAAGUGGUACGCGAGCUGGGUUUAGAACGUCGUGAGACAGUUCGGUCCCUAUCUGCCGUGGGCGCUGGAGAAUUGAGGGGGCUGCUCCUAGUACGAGAGGACCGGAGUGGACGCAUCACUGGUGUUCGGGUUGUCAUGCCAAUGGCACUGCCCGGUAGCUAAAUGCGGAAGAGAUAAGUGCUGAAAGCAUCUAAGCACGAAACUUGCCCCGAGAUGAGUUCUCCCUGAGACUUUAAGUCUCCUGAAGGAACGUUAAAGACGAUGACGUUGAUAGGCCGGGUGUGUAAGCGCAGCGAUGCGUUGAGCUAACCGGUACUAAUGAACCGUGAGGCUUAACCUU